rnacentral:misc_RNA from 1 species
GAUGAAGAACGUAGCGAAAUUCGAUAAGUAAUGUGAAUUGCAGAAUUCAGUGAAUCAUCGAAUCUUUGAACGCACAUUGCGCCCCCUGGUAUUCCGGGGGGCAUGCCUGUUCGAGCGUCAUUACAACCCUCAAGCUCUGCUUGGUGUUGGGCCCCGCCGCCCCGGCGGGCCCUAAAAUCAGUGGCGGUGCCGUCCGGCUCCGAGCGUAGUAAUUCUUCUCGCUCUGGAGGUCCGGGUGUGUGCUCGCCAGCAACCCCCAAUUUUUUUCAGGUUGACCUCGGAUCAGGUAGGGAUACCCGCUGAACUUAAGCAUAUCAAUAAGCGGAGGA